rnacentral:lncRNA from 1 species
CAGGUGGCGGGGCAGAGAGAUCCCGUGGCCGGGAACGUCGGGGCAGGGGCGCCAGUCCCCGAGGGGGUGGCCCUCUCAUCCUGCUGGAUCUUAAUGAUGAGAACAGCAACCAGAGUUUCCAUUCGGAAGGUUCCCUGCAAAAGGGCACAGAGCCCAGUCCUGGGGGCACCCCCCAGCCCAGCCGCCCUGUGUCACCUGCCGGACCCCCAGAAGGGGUCCCUGAGGAGGCUCAGCCCCCACGGCUGGGCCAAGAGAGAGGUAGGACCAGAUCCCGGGGGCAUAACUGCUGGCAGCACCGACGAACCCCCAAUGCUGACCAAGGAGGAGCCUGUUCCAGAACUGCUGGAAGCUGAGGCCCCCGAAGCUUACCCUGUCUUUGAGCCAGUGCCACCUGUCCCUGAGGCAGCCCAGGGUGACACAGAGGACUCGGAGGGCGCCCCCCCACUCAAGCGCAUCUGCCCAAAUGCCCCUGACCCCUGAGAAGCCGGCCUGCCUGUCCUGUUGCCCCAGGGGCCCCUUUGGCUUUUUACAAAUAAAGACCCU